GGGGAAUUUUGGACAAUGGGCGCAAGCCUGAUCCAGCAAUGCCGCGUGCAGGAUGAAGGCCUUCGGGUUGUAAACUGCUUUUGUACGGAACGAAAAAGCUCUCUCUAAUACAGGGGGUGAAUGACGGUACCGUAAGAAUAAGCACCGGCUAACUACGUGCCAGCAGCCGCGGUAAUACUUAGGGUGCAAGCGUUAAUCGGAAUUACUGGGCGUAAAGCGUGCGCAGGCGGUUUUGUAAGACAGAGGUGAAAUCCCCGGGCUCAACCUGGGAACUGCCUUUGUGACUGCAAAGCUGGAGUGCGGCAGAGGGGGAUGGAAUUCCGCGUGUAGCAGUGAAAUGCGUAGAUAUGCGGAGGAACACCGAUGGCGAAGGCAAUCCCCUGGGCCUGCACUGACGCUCAUGCACGAAAGCGUGGGGAGCAAACA
rnacentral:rRNA from 1 species